AAUAAAGGAAUACAGUCUAAGUUCGCAACAUCGUGUCGCAACGACUGUAUGACCUUCAUCCUGAAGG
rnacentral:sRNA from 1 species